AAAUAAAAUAAGAAGUAGUAGAAGUAGAAGAAGAGGUAGUAUGCAUAGUAAUAAUGGACUGGAUUUACAAUGGAUUUACAUAUUUAAAGUGGGUAGUAGAAUUAAUAGUAUAUAUUAGAACAGCAGCAUCAACUGUGUGUGUGUGUUUGCGUUUAUGGGUGUUUGUGUGUGUGUGUGUGUUUCAGGUUAACUAAAACCAAUACCGUAAUUUCCCCUUUUGGGACGAGCAGGACAACACCGAAACCGUAAACAAGCCCUAAACUACCGUUGAGGAGAAAUCAUAUGACGCAUUGAACUGGAGGCGUUACUCACCUGCUACACUUCAGCCAGCCACGCGCCCUGCAUGAAGGGUGGUGAUAGGCUGUCGGUAAAGAAGGAGGCGUAAACCAUAGCGUCAUUAUAUGUCCUAAACUGGGUUUUUGUUGAAUAGGUCAUUUUUACGUAAGAAUAUCUCACCUAGUCAACACGUCGAAAUCAACACAUUUAUCGGGAAGGGAACAGCAAGACAGUUAGUGAAAAAGUGAGUAGCCUACUGUAUGAUAUUCUAUUAUAUUUCAUGUUGUCGACUGACAUAUUCACAUGGGAAAUUGCAAGUUGAAGUGGUAAUGCUAGGCUACUGUUAAUGUUCAGGAAGAACUAAGAUCAGCAUUGGGUGAAAUACCACGACCAGAGAGAACUGUUAUGCAUUUUUUUGGGCACCCAAUGCUGUGUUUAAUCGUUGGUUUAGCCGUAUUUAAGAAAAUGUAAACGAAAACUUUACUUUAGGCUAUUUUACAAGUGAAACCAAAACAACCAGAACAACAUAUCCAAGACAAUUAUGCAAUUGUGACAUAUCAUAAAGUUAGAAAGAAAGACAUCUUUACGGUAAUGAAAAAAAUGUAUCUAAUUUUGCAUUAUCCAUUGUAGAUUCCUAUCAUGGAGGUUACAGAAAAGAAGAUGCCCAAACAGGCCCAGCUGCUCUCUCUUGGCCGCAAGGACACCAGUCACCUCUUGGAAGUGUAUGUGAAGCGCAGCAUCAGUUUAAGUGACGGGACAUGUGAGGACCAGAGGUCACCAACAAAGCCUCGGAAGUGGGUGACACUGUCAGAGAAACGCAGAAGAGUCCACCGGCAUUCUAUUGACUCCUUGGUCACCUUAGGGCCCAGCAAACUUGACAAGGGCGAUGCUACCAGAACACCACCCAACGAGGGCUUUGUUAUACCAAAUGUGGCUCCUGUAGAAAUCCCAGGGCCUGCUGAUAUUCCUGAGAUUGAUGCGUCUACUGAACUGGAGAAUAAGUCUAAAGAGGGAAAGAAGAAGACCAAAAGGCCCUCUCUCUGGAAAAGUUUUCUGGGUUUCUUCUCGAAAAAGGGGAGUGACCAGAAAGAUGAGCAUGAGUCUGGUACAGAGACUGCUGGACAGUCACAAGGAAACAAAUCCAUAAAAAAGCAAUGGCGCUCCAUGAGGAGACUACCUCUGAGGAAAAUAAAGAGUGACAGCCCCAGAGGGUCUGUGAGGAGAUCAUCGGCUCGGAACAGGGCCAUCACUACAGAAAUAACUGGAGUUGAAUCGGUUGUGAGUGUGGUGCUUACAGACUCGUACUAUGAGAAAGUGUCAGAAGAGCUGGAGAAGAUUGUGUCUGAGGAGAAAGAGACAGACACAGCUUCUACAGAUGAGGACGUCAUCAAAAGGUUAAUUGUUCUGAUGAAGCAGCAAGGAGACGUCAUUGAUAACAAGCUGAAGGAGAACCCCAGCCUGAGCACAUUCUUCCAGAAGCUGUCCUACAGUACCUUCCAGCAGUUAGCUGAUACGUAUGUGGAGACAGAGACCCCUACAGGCCAGAGCCGCCAGACACCACACACUGUUGGGCCCGGGCCCGUCAAUGCCCCGGAGCUGGUCAAGCUGGCCUUCACUCUGGACUUCACAGCCAGGGUGGCCUGUCUCUCCAGACAAUCCACAGGACACAUCAUGGGCCUGGGCAACCGCUACUUAGAGGACCGCUUCACCCAGACACCAGAGGCAAGAGUCAGCCCUGUUUUCUCUUUUAAUUCAAAUGCCUGUAAUUAUGUGUAA
rnacentral:lncRNA from 8 species